UUAUUACAGUAAGAUAUGGAAUUGCUGUCAUCCAAGUUUUAGACAUACCAGACCACAGCCAAAAAUUAGCUUUAUUUUCGUACAAAGCACAUCCAAAUUGACAGUGCGAAAGAAAAUAUAAGACAAUUUUGAGUUCCUCUAAAGCGUCUGGACUGUAUACCGUCUGUAGAUCCACAACGCAGGCUGAUUAGCACAUCCGAUCUCCAGAUGGCGGUAAAAAUUCCUGCUGUUCAAAUUAACAAAUAAUCGUAGAGCUACUGUAUAUGUAACUGGCGCUAUAGAUGACACACGAUACCAUCGAAACUUUAAUAGUACGCAAAGACUGGGACCAAAUGACAUUCAUUUUUUCUUAGCUAACAUUUGCAAGAGACCAAAUCGGGGUCUAUGGCAUGGGUCGUUUAAUUCAUUUCUUUUUACACUGAGUUUAUCUAUUAUUUUAACAAUAUUCAAUAGCACAAAGUUGUUCGAAUCCAAAUACACCAACACGCUAUAUACGUUAGUUUUAAGCAGAAA